rnacentral:rRNA from 1 species
CCUACGGGAGGCUGCAGUGGGGAAUAUUGGACAAUGGGGGGAACCCUGAUCCAGCCAUGCCGCGUGUGUGAAGAAGGCCCUCGGGUUGUAAAGCACUUUCAGUGAGGAAGAACGCCUGGUGGUUAAUACCCAUCAGGAAAGACAUCACUCACAGAAGAAGCACCGGCUAACUCCGUGCCAGCAGCCGCGGUAAUACGGAGGGUGCGAGCGUUAAUCGGAAUUACUGGGCGUAAAGCGCGCGUAGGUGGCUUGAUAAGCCGGUUGUGAAAGCCCCGGGCUCAACCUGGGAACGGCAUCCGGAACUGUCAAGCUAGAGUGCAGGAGAGGAAGGUAGAAUUCCCGGUGUAGCGGUGAAAUGCGUAGAGAUCGGGAGGAAGACCAGUGGCGAAGGCGGCCUUAUGGACUGACACUGACACUGAGGUGCGAAAGCGUGGGUAGCAAACAGGAUUAGAUACCCCAGUAGUC